rnacentral:rRNA from 1 species
UACGUAGGGUGCGAGCGUUUGUCCGGAAUUAUUGGGCGUAAAGGGCUCGUAGGCGGUCUGUUGCGUCGGGAGUGAAAACUCAGGGCUUAACCCUGAGCCUGCUUCCGAUACGGGCAGACUAGAGGUAUGUAGGGGAGACUGGAAUUCCUGGUGUAGCGGUGAAAUGCGCAGAUAUCAGGAGGAACACCGGUGGCGAAGGCGGGUCUCUGGGCCUGUACUGACGCUGAGGAGCGAAAGCGUGGGGAGCAAACAGG